rnacentral:rRNA from 1 species
GGCCUCCGGGUUGUAAACCUCUUUCAGCAGGGACGAAGCGCAAGUGACGGUACCUGUAGAAGAAGCACCGGCCAACUACGUGCCAGCAGCCGCGGUAAUACGUAGGGUGCGAGCGUUGUCCGGAAUUACUGGGCGUAAAGAGCUCGUAGGUGGUUUGUCGCGUUGUUCGUGAAAACUCACAGCUCAACUGUGGGCGUGCGGGCGAUACGGGCAGACUUGAGUACUGCAGGGGAGACUGGAAUUCCUGGUGUAGCGGUGGAAUGCGCAGAUAUCAAGAGGAACACCGGUGGCGAAGGCGGUUCUCUGGGCAGUAACUGACGCUGAGGAGCGAAAGCGUGGGGAGCGAACAGGAUUAGAUACCCUGGUAGUCCACGCCGUAAACGGUGGGUACUAGGUGUGGGUUUCCUUCCUUGGGAUCCGUGCCGUAGCUAACGCAUUAAGUACCCCGCCUGGGGAGUACGGCCGCAAGGCUAAAACUCAGAGAAAUUGACGGGGGCCCGCACAAGCGGCGGAGCAUGUGGAUUAAUUCGAUGCAACGCGAAGAACCUUACCUGGGUUUGACAUGCACAGGACGUGCCUAGAGAUAGGUAUUCCCUUGUG